AUUGAACGCUGGCGGCAUGCCUUACACAUGCAAGUCGAACGGCAGCACGGGUGCUUGCACCUGGUGGCGAGUGGCGAACGGGUGAGUAAUACAUCGGAACGUACCUUAUCGUGGGGGAUAACGCAGCGAAAGCUGUGCUAAUACCGCAUACGCCCUGAGGGGGAAAGCGGGGGAUCGCAAGACCUCGCGCGAUUAGAGCGGCCGAUGCCUGAUUAGCUUGUUGGUGGGGUAAAAGCCCACCAAGGCGACGAUCAGUAGCUGGUCUGAGAGGACGAUCAGCCACACUGGGACGGGGACACGGCCCAGCCUCGUACGGGAGGCAGCAGUGGGGAAUUUUGGACAAUGGGGGCAACCCUGGUCCAGCAAUGCCGCGUGAGUGAAGGAGGCCUUCGGGUUGUAAAGCUCUUUUGUCAGGGAAGAAACACCGGCUCUAACACAGUCCGGGAAUGACGGUACCUGAAGAAUAAGCACCGGCUAACUACGUGCCAGCCGCCGCCGUAA
rnacentral:rRNA from 1 species